ACGCUCGACACCUACGGGAGGCAGCAGUGGGGAAUAUUGCACAAUGGGGGGAACCCUGAUGCAGCGACGCCGCGUGAGUGAAGAAGUACUUCGGUAUGUAAAGCUCUAUCAGCAGGGAAGAAAAUGACGGUACCUGACUAAGAACGCCCCGGCUAACUACGUGCAAGCAGCCGCGGUAAUCUGAGGCGGGCUGGCAAGGC
rnacentral:rRNA from 1 species